AUGCAUGUCUAAGUAUAAGCAACUAUACGGUGAAACUGCGAAUGGCUCAUUAAAUCAGUUAUCGUUUAUUUGAUAGUACCUUACUACAUGGAUAACCGUGGUAAUUCUAGAGCUAAUACAUGCUAAAAACCUCGACUUCGGAAGGGGUGUAUUUAUAAGAUAAAAAACCAAUGCCCUUCGGGGCUCCUUGGUGAAUCAUAAUAACUUAACGAAUCCAUGGCCUUGCCCGCGAUGGUUCAUUCAAAUUUCUGCCCUAUCAACUUUCGAUGGUAAGAUAAUGGCCUACCAUGGUAUCAACCGGUAACCGGGAAUUAGGGUUCCACUCCCGAGAAGGAGCCUCAGAAACGGCUACCACAUCCAAGGAAGGCAACAAGCCCCCAAAUUACCCAAUCCCCACACGGGGAGGUAGUGACAAUAA
rnacentral:rRNA from 1 species